rnacentral:rRNA from 1 species
CGUGCCAGCAGCCGCGGUAAUACGUAGGUGGCAAGCGUUAUCCGGAUUUAUUGGGCGUAAAGCGAGCGCAGGCGGUUUUUUAAGUCUGAUGUGAAAGCCUUCGGCUUAACCGGAGAAGUGCAUCGGAAACCGGGAGACUUGAGUGCAGAAGAGGACAGUGGAACUCCAUGUGUAGCGGUGAAAUGCGUAGAUAUAUGGAAGAACACCAGUGGCGAAGGCGGCUGUCUGGUCUGCAACUGACGCUGAGGCUCGAAAGCAUGGGUAGCGAACAGGAUUAGAUACCCUGGUAGUCCAUGCCGUAAACGAUGAGUGCUAAGUGUUGGAGGGUUUCCGCCCUUCAGUGCUGCAGCUAACGCAUUAAGCACUCCGCCUGGGGAGUACGACCGCAAGGUUGAAACUCAAAGGAAUUGACGGGGGCCCGCACAAGCGGUGGAGCAUGUGGUUUAAUUCGAUGCUACGCGAAGAACCUUACCAGGUCUUGACAUCUUCUGCUAACCUAAGAGAUUAGGCGUUCCCUUCGAGGACGGAAUGACAGGUGGUGCAUGGUUGUCGUCAGCUCGUGUCGUGAGAUGUUGGGUUAAGUCCCGCAACGAGCGCAACCCUUAUUGUCAGUUGCCAGCAUUUAGUUGGGCACUCUGGCGAGACUGCCGGUGACAAUCCGGAGGAAGGUGGGGAUGACGUCAAAUCAUCAUGCCCCUUAUGACCUGGGCUACACACGUGCUACAAUGGACGGUACAACGAGUCGCGAAACCGCGAGGUCAAGCUAAUCUCUGAAAGCCGUUCUCAGUUCGGAUUGCAGGCUGCAACUCGCCUGCAUGAAGUUGGAAUCGCUAGUAAUCGUGGAUCAGCAUGCCACGGUGAAUACGUUCCCGGGCCUUGUACACACCGCCCGUCACACCAUGAGAGUUUGUAACACCCAAAGCCGGUGAGGUAACCUUCGGGGGCCAGCCGUCUAAGGUGGGACAGAUGAUUAGGGUGAAGUCGUAACAAGGUAGCCGUAGGAGAACCUGCGGCUGGAUCACCUCCUUUCUAA